rnacentral:ribozyme from 1 species
CUGUCGAUACACCCAAGGCAGGCAAAGUAAAUGCCCGAACAUUAUUACAGAAUUCUACAAGUCAUCGAAGUAUUGCUAUUACAGAUCAUGGUAAUUUAAAAGACAGCAACUACUUGGAGGACAUGAAGGCAUUUAUAAGUAGCCCCAAA